GAAAGCAUGGCUUAGUGGUAGAGCAUUUGCCUAGUAUAGAAAGCCCUGGGUUCAAUCCCAGUACCAUUA
rnacentral:tRNA from 1 species